rnacentral:rRNA from 1 species
AAGUCCCGCAACGAGCGCAACCCCUAUUUUCAGUUGCCAUCCUAUAGUAAUAUAGAGGGACUCUGGAGAGACUGCCUACGUAAGUAGAGAGGAAGGCGGGGAUGACGUCAAAUCAUCAUGGCCUUUAUGCCUAGGGCGACACACGUGCUACAAUGGCCGGUACAAAGGGUUGCGAGACUGUGAAGUUAAGCCAAUCCCAAAAAGCCGGUCCCAGUUCGGAUUGGAGUCUGAAACCCGACUCCAUGAAGGUGGAAUCGCUAGUAAUCGCGCAUCAGCCAUGGCGCGGUGAAUACGUUCCCGGACCUUGUACACACCGCCCGUCAAGCCACGGAAGCCGAGGGUGCCUGAAGAUGGUGAC